GUGGGUAUAGCUCAGUGAUAGAGUGCGCGCCUCGUAAGCAUGAGGUCCUGGGUUCCAGCUCCAGUACCUCCA
rnacentral:tRNA from 1 species